AAUUAUUACCAUUAUAACAAGAAAUAAUCUAGAAAUUAAAACGACUGCCCUGCCAUAUUGAUUU